AUGACGACGUUCGCGGACGCCGUGCUCUUACUUGGAAGUGUCAUUAUUUGGACACCUCCUCCUUCAAGCUGUUGGUAUCAUCCUACAUUGCCAGGCCCAGCAAUUGGAUCCUUGCUAGGAGUUGACAGGAGGCGACCUCCGGGUGUGGCACAUGCCGGCCGAGCGUUGUGCACAUAUGAAACUGGCAGCAUGAGCACCUGGCCCAGGCGUAGCAGCAGCAGGAGGAGGAGGGGAGCAUUCGGGUCGUCGGCGGCGAGGUGGAACAAGAGUAUAUAUACACGUAUGGGACGUUCAGAGAUCGCCCUCCCCUCCCGAGUCGCCCCCCGCGUGGGCGGCCGGGAGGCCCCCAGAUCCCGUCGGUCGGUCCUCCCCCUCUCCUCCUCCUCCUCCCUCGCCACCGCCCAAGGGCGCGGCCAGGCGAAGCCUGCCGUCACCGGCGGCGGCGGGGACUCAGGCCCUCUCGCUCGGGUGGGGCUGGCGCGGGCCGGCGCCCCCGAGCCGGAGCGUGGCGGCGGGCCGGACGCCACGGCGGGCGAUGUUGGCGCCUCGGCGACUACGCUCCCCCGCGGCAAACGGCCUCGCGAUCUUGUGCGUCGCGGUCGCCAUGGUCGGCGGCGGCGUGGCCGGAUCGGUUCGCGGCGGCGCGGCCGGAUCUUUGCCCAAGCGUGGGCCUUGAUCGCUGGUUUGCUGUCGGCACGGUGGCGGGUGCGACUCGUCGGCAGCUGGGCAGAUCCGCCGGGAUUCUACCCUUGUCUUGUCCUUGACAGCGCGGGCAACUCCGGGGGAAAACCUAGAUCUCCUUGGGAUCGAGCGAUGGCGGCGCUUUUGCGUCGUAGUCCCUCUUUAGGGCAUCGUUUUGGAGUUUACUCCGGAAGCAGCCGACGCGGGAGCGCCCCGGCCGUGGGUGGUGGAAGCAGGCGGUGGCUCGGCGGUCCGAAGAAAGAAGAUGAACAGGAGGCUCAGUUGAAGAACAAUCUCACUUUAAGGCGAGUUAAGGAGCAGCGUUUGGAUCCCCGCCGCGUGCUUCACGUGCCCUUUCGAUCCGUGGCCGUCAGAUCAUACGGUCAGUGCCCGCAGGCGCCGUUGGAUCUCACGCAAAGCCAUCCGAUUUGCGAUUCAUCCCAGACCCACACCCAAACCCACCCAAGCGCAGAGCUCCGGCCGGGGAGAGAAAGCUCGUGGCCUAGGUCGAUGGCUGCUCCACAGCCAGAUCCGAGCACCCUAGGGGUCCUCCGGUUUCUCUGCCGAUACGUGAAGUUCGAGUCUAGCUGCGUCGCCGAUACCUUCUGCACGGGCUGCGGCGCCGCUGCGUGCUCGCACUGUUGCGACAGGCAGCACGUACGCGCACACCACCCCAACCAGCACGUCUACUACGCCGAGGUGCGCUCCUUGGAGAAUGGGUUUGGGCCGGCAGUCGCGGUGGUGGACAUGAAGUGUGGCUACCGUUGGGACGGGAUACGGAAGGUGCGAUAUGGUUCAUACAAGAUCUUUGUUCCGCUAUAUGGCCGUGAGGAGGAUUACCACGAGCCAGACAUAGGGACUUGCCCGUGUGGUGAUCCUCUUCCGGAGGGCGCAGGGGAUUACUGCUCUUUGUUUUGCCGCUUCCACGCGGUUGAGGGAGGGAAUGCUUUGGGAAGGCACAGAGUUGAGUCUCUGCUGAAUGCUGAUUUCGAGGAAGGGCAUGAGCGGGACCGGUUUUGUACCAAGUGUCUUGGCUUCCACAGCGCCUUCUUCUGCCCAGACCAUGUCCAAGCGCACCACCCAGGGCGCGGUCGCCUCAUAGAGGUCCUGAGGAGCGGCGGCCGAGUCCUUGUGGCCGCAAUCGAGUUCCCGCAGAUGGUUACUGAGCACAUGGAGACUUUCCAGGUUGAGGGACACGAGGGGCCCUUCGUCCAGAUCAUCCCAGCCCGGGAGGAAAUGGGGCUCGGGCCAGGGCUCGUGGGUCCCGGGAACUGCAACCGGUGCGGCGUAAACGAGCAAUUCUGCUCUCUUCUGUGCAAGUUGAUCGCAAAAUUCCCCGAUUCUCCGCCGCGGCGGACGGGAAUGGGAUCCAUCCCGGCGCCGGUGCUGGAGGCUGAACGCCAAGCUUCCCCCUCCUUUUCUCUCGGCCCUCAAUUGCCAGAUCUGCUCGCAGCUAGCGGGCGGCUGCACAGCAAUCUCUUCUACGCCGGCGGCCAUGGUAGUACAUCAGUGGAUAUGAUGCUCCAGCCCGUCGUGCUCAGUUCGCCUUCCAGAUUAGUUUAUGCUGUCAACGGCUUCGAUGAUGGAGCCGUCCGCCUCAAUGCUUUCCUUUGCCGUAGGCCAGUAGCAUGCGACGAGCUGGUCAUGAUAUCCUCUGUCGGCAAAAGGCACAUUCUAAUCUUAUUCGGUUCUGUCUAUCAGGUGGGAGCACAGGCGAAUCUGAUCCGGACACUGCAAGUCAAGCUGCAGAUGCUGAAUCUGAUGAAGACCAAGUGGCAUACUUUGAUACAAGAGAUUUUUUUUGUCUGCACAAUCUCUACAAAGUGCUUCUCCAAGGAGGGAACUUGUGACAAAUGGCUGCGAUGCAUUAGAAUCUAUUGGAGACUCCAGAUGAUUGAUAAGUGUUUUCUCAUGGACAAUUCACAAUUGUUAGUAGUAUGGGAGUUCCUGCCAAGACAGGCUUUUGAAAGUUAUGCUUGCUUCACCAGUUGGGCUUAA
rnacentral:rRNA from 1 species